AUGUUAUGUAAGUCUGCUCCUGGGAAGGACUUGCUGGACCCCUCCACACUCCCAGGAAAACCAGGUACCCAGCAUCAUAUUGGAGUUGAUAGUGUGUCUAUCAGAGGAGGUCAGGAAUCAGAGGGAGGUGUAGAAGAAGGUGCAGGAGAAGAGCCAGCAUACAGCCAGGAUAGAAGAGAAGAUCCACAGGUUGAGAUGCCAGCUCUGGGAGGGAUCCUGAACAUGGAGGGUUCCCAGCCCUGUUGGACAGAGAAGCAACUCACUCAGAGACCGAACACCAAGCCAUACAGCAUGAGGUUAACCCUUAGUUAACUUGGUCAGAGAAAGGAAUUCAUCAUUUGUUAACAUUUGAAAUUGAUAUACAGGCUGCAUGUAAUGUUAUCUUCUGAAAUUUGACCUAAAACUAAUCUUGCAUGGUGGCCAUGUCUGAGUCUUGGAACAUGACCACAAACACAGCUCUUCAGUUAUACAGAGAAUUAAGUGGACAGUGAGACAACAGUUUACAGUGAGACAACAGUUUAUCACUUACUGAACAGAUGAGGGAAGUGGAGAGAACCAACAAACAGCUGACGAGGGAGUUAUAGGCUAGGAUCUCUUCUUGUGUGUUCACAUGGAGAUACAGUAUCAAACACAGCUUUAGAGCCUAAACUGGGGGAGGAUGAGCCCCCAAACCUAAAUCAACCCUUAGCCCUCACCCCCUGAGAUCUGAAAGGUUUGAAAAUGUGUGAGCAAUCCUGUCAAUUAAAGGUGAAACUUGUGUUGUAUGUAAUCCCAAUCAAUACUGUAUUUGUACUCUGCAGGUACAGUGAGUUCCUUGUGUAGAACUCUGUCCAUAAAGGAAGGAGAGCUGAUCACUGCUAAAGGCCAGCAGGAUGAGUUGAGACAGCGGCUGAAGAACCAGUUUGACCAGCUACAGGCCAUGUCCAGGAAGAUAGUAAAGGACAGGUUGGUUUAGCUACAGGCCAUGUCCAGGAAGAUAGUAAAGGACAGGUUGGUUCAGCUACAGGCCAUGUCCAGGAAGAUAGUAAAGGACAGGUUGGUUUAGCUACAGGCCAUGUCCAGGAAGAUAGUAAAGGACAGGUUGGUUUAGCUACAGGCCAUGUCCAGGAAGGUAGUAAAUGACAGGUUGGUUUAGCUACAGGCCAUGUCCAGGAAGAUAGUAAAGGACAGGUUGGUUUAGCUACAGGCCCUGUCCAGGAAGGUAGUAAAGGACAGGUUGGUUUAGCUACAGGCCAUGUCCAGGAAGAUAGUAAAGGACAGGUUGGUUUAGCUACAGGCCAUGUCCAGGAAGAUAGUAAAGGACAGGUUGGUUUAGCUACAGGCCAUGUCCAGGAAGUUAUGAACAUGCUUUGAGUGUGUAGAUUAGGUUAUAUCUAUAACUGUCAAUCAAACCUGGGUCAAAUAUGUAUUUCAAAUGAUUUAAAUAUUUAUGGGGGAAAUAUUGCAGGCUUAAGGAUUUAUACAAGCAUACAUCUUACUCUGUUAAUCUUAGCUUUGCGCUAUACCCUGAGAAAGCAGGAAAUGACUGGUUUCAUUAGACUUGUCUGACCCUGUUCAAGGGAGUCUGUACGGGAUACGGUUCCUGUUUUCUCAUGGUAUGUGAUGAAGUAUGAGAUGCUUAGCAACACUGCAAAAUGUGUAACCAUAUAUGGGCAUAUGGCUCUUUGCCAGCUGGCAAAGAUAGACGCUAAGGAAAGCUAUAAAAGACAAUUUAAAAUGUGUUUGGGGGCUCUUCGCUGUGCACCAUUUUGGGUCUAUGCUAACCAGCUACAUUUUUGCUAAUCUUAUUAAUAAAGAACUUUGCUGUUUGAGAGAACCUGCAACCUCUCUUGCUUUUCCCUUUAAUGUUUAGAAUUUCCACGACAUACUUCAGGUGCUCAUGAUUUAGUUUAACCAGCAGGCAGAGUUAGCACCUUUGGGACACUUCAGAUCUUUCCAUUGUGCCUAGAUCAAGCACACUUAAAGUCCUUUCAAAUACACUGUGAAUGUGACUUUUCUAAGAACUGCCUUUAAAUUCAGUUCUCUUGUUUACGGGAAGGUGUGAGGAACUCGUGAUAAUGCUGGAGGAGGAGAAUGGAACUUGUGAUAUGAUAACUUUGUUUAUAAGCUACACUUCCUCUUAAGGAUCAGACUCUUUUUUUCAAUUUUCGCCUAAAAUGACAGACCCAAAUCUAACUGCCUGAAGCUCAGGCCCUGAAGCAAGGAUAUGCAUUUUCUUGGUACCAUUUGAAAGGAAACACUUUGAAGUUUGUGGACAUGUGAAUCAGUGUAGAUGAAGGGAUGGUAGACAUGUUAAAGAAAGGUUUUUAAGCCUUGAGACAUAUUAGAAAUGGAUUGUGUAU
rnacentral:lncRNA from 1 species